UCACUCAAAGAUGAUCCCGCGUUGUAUUAGCUAGUUGGUGAGGUAAAGGCUCACCAAGGCGAUGAUACAUAGCCGACCUGAGAGGGUGAUCGGCCACAUUGGGACUGAGACACGGCCCAAACUCCUACGGGAGGCUGCAGUAGGGAAUCUUCGGCAAUGGACGAAAGUCUGACCGAGCAACGCCGCGUGAGUGAAGAAGGUUUUCGGAUCGUAAAACUCUGUUGGUAGAGAAGAACGUUGGUGAGAGUGGAAAGCUCAUCAAGUGACGGUAACUACCCAGAAAGGGACGGCUAACUACGUGCCAGCAGCCGCGGUAAUACGUAGGUCCCGAGCGUUGUCCGGAUUUAUUGGGCGUAAAGCGAGCGCAGGUGGUUUAUUAAGUCUGGUGUAAAAGGCAGUGGCUCAACCAUUGUAUGCAUUGGAAACUGGUAGACUUGAGUGCAGGAGAGGAGAGUGGAAUUCCAUGUGUAGCGGUGAAAUGCGUAGAUAU
rnacentral:rRNA from 1 species